AGAAACACCCGUCUGGAACGGAGAAAGUCGGCCUGAUCACCGAAACAGGAACGUCGACCUGGGUACCAAAAUAAAUGGUAACACAGGGAUAACCAUGGCCUGAACACCACACAUCCGCUGGGGAUUAUUAUUAUUCUCUCUUUUUUUUUAUUUUCUUGAACCCCGGAAUUUUCUUUUGCUUUCUUUUUUCAUUUUCUUGAACC
rnacentral:lncRNA from 1 species